rnacentral:rRNA from 1 species
AGUGAACGCUGGCGGUAGGCCUAACACAUGCAAGUCGAACGGCAGCACAGGAGAGCCUGCUCUCUGGGUGGCGAGUGGCGGACGGGUGAGGAAUACAUCGGAAUCUACCUUUUCGUGGGGGAUAACGUAGGGAAACUUACGCUAAUACCGCAUACGACCUACGGGUGAAAGUGGGGACCGCAAGGCCUCACGCGAUUAGA